rnacentral:rRNA from 1 species
CCUACGGGAGGCAGCAGUGAGGAAUAUUGGUCAAUGGGCGCGAGCCUGAACCAGCCAAGUCGCGUGAGGGAUGACGGUCCUACGGAUUGUAAACCUCUUUUGCCGGGGAGCAAGGGUGUCCUUGCGAACGCCCGACGAGAGUACCCGGAGAAAAAGCAUCGGCUAACUCCGUGCCAGCAGCCGCGGUAAUACGGAGGAUGCGAGCGUUAUCCGGAUUUAUUGGGUUUAAAGGGUGCGUAGGCGGGAUGCCAAGUCAGCGGUCAAAAGGCGGGGCUCAACGCCGGCGAGCCGUUGAAACUGGCGUUCUUGAGUGGGCGAGAAGUAUGCGGAAUGCGUGGUGUAGCGGUGAAAUGCAUAGAUAUCACGCAGAACUCCGAUUGCGAAGGCAGCAUACCGGCGCCCGACUGACGCUGAGGCACGAAAGCGUGGGUAUCGAACAGGAUUAGAUACCCCUGUAGUC